UUCAGUUGGGCGACAGACUCUGGACUCGACAGAAAAUCGAGAGCUUGGAAAUUUUGUGGUCCGUGAUCAUUACCUGGAAAUCUUUGGUGAAAACUAAUGCAAACACUCAGCAAUUGCACCUGCACAGAAAUCAAAUACAAAAAAGGAUACUCCCGAAUAUACGAGUGCGUGUGACCCAAAACGGGCAAAGUUGUACCGCAAAAAGCGCCAUUUACAAACAAAAUGCAAAGUGAUUCGAUUGUGUGAGAAGUUAGUGGAAAAUCCAUUCGGCAGCGGAACGACAGACGUCAGUCUUCAAUCAAAUGUAGCGCCAAAAGUCCAGGCUUCAGACGUCUUGCCACUUGCAACUGCAGCAGGAGCACAAGCCACAAAA